rnacentral:rRNA from 1 species
UACGUAGGUCCCGAGCGUUGUCCGGAUUUAUUGGGCGUAAAGCGAGCGCAGGUGGUUUAUUAAGUCUGGUGUAAAAGGCAGUGGCUCAACCAUUGUAUGCAUUGGAAACUGGUAGACUUGAGUGCAGGAGAGAAAAGUGGAAUUCCAUGUGUAGCGGUGAAAUGCGUAGAUAUAUGGAGGAACACCGGUGGCGAAAGCGGCUCUCUGGCCUGUAACUGACACUGAGGCUCGAAAGCGUGGGGAGCAAACAGG